CCUACGGGAGGCAGCAGUCGAGGAUCUUUGGCAAUGGGCGCAAGCCUGACCAAGCGACGCCGCGUGCGCGAUGAAGGCCUUCGGGUUGUAAAGCGCUGUCGAGGGGGAGAAAGCCGCAAGGUUGACCUAUCCCUGGAGGAAGGACGGGCUAAGUUCGUGCCAGCAGCCGCGGUAAGACGAACCGUCCUAACGUUGUUCGGAAUCACUGGGCUUAAAGGGCGAGUAGGCGGUGAGGCAAGUCCGAGGUGUAAUACUAUGGCUUAACCAUAGAACUGCCUCGGAAACUGCUUUACUUGAGUCAGUGAGGGGAGGGCGGAAUUCCUGGUGUAGCGGUGAAAUGCGUAGAUAUCAGGAGGAAGGCCAGUGGCGAAGGCGUCCCUCUGGCGCUGAACUGACGCUGAGGCGCGAAGGCGUGGGGAGCAAACAGGAUUAGAUACCCGGGUAGUCC
rnacentral:rRNA from 1 species